GGCAACCGGGAGGAUUUGCGACAGCGCGUGGUGCGGGUGACGGGACCGGGGGAGCGCGGGGGUCCCUGAGGGGGACCCGAGGGUCUUUGAGGUGUCCCGGUGGCGCUCCGGGGUCCCUGAGAGGGUCCCGGGUGUCCCUGAGGGGGUCCCGGGGGAGCGCGGGGGUCCCUGAGAGGUCCCGGGGGUCCCUGAGGGGGUCCCGGGUGUGCUCCGGGGUCCCUGCGGGGGUCCCUGCGGUGUCCCGGGGCUGCCCGGCGCUCCCCGCUGCCCGCAGGGCGCUGCUGCCCCCGGCCAUGUGUCGGUAGCGCGGUUCUGGCGGAGCUCCCUUUCCAUGGAGGGCAGCGGCCCCAGCCCGGAGCCCUGGGCCGGGCGGGCGCUGCCGGAGCCCGCGGCGCUGGCGGCGCUGCUGGACGCGGCCGAUCCGCGCUGCCCGCCCGGGCCCGCGGCGCUGGCGGAGCUGGCGGCGGCUCUGGGCGCCUCGGCGGCCCCGCCGCGCCGGGAGCGGGACGGAGCCGAGCCCCGCGGGCAGGACGCGGCGGGGGCAGCCGCGGCGGAGCGGGCGGAGCGCGCUGGGUCCCUGUUCCUGCUGCUGCUGCAGAAGCUGGAGGCUGCCCGGGGCUGCCCCGUGCCCCGCACCGUGCUGGGACACGCGUUCAUCUUCGCCGUCACGCACAAGGACGAGCGGCCCUGGAGCACGGCGAGGAGCCGGGCAGUGGCCCGGGAGCUGCUGGAGCGCCUGGUCCGGGCUGCGGGCUGCGCGUCCGUGGAGGAGUUCCUGCAGGGAAAGGACGAGGAUGAGCAAGGAGGAUUCGGAGCGGUGAUGGGGCUGCUGAAGCAGGAGUUAACCAAGGACACCUGGAAGUGCAAUCCCGCCUCCAAAGUCGUGUUCAGCUGGGCGCUGCUGCGUGUCCGCCGGCCCUGGCUGUGCCCGCACCUGGAGCGGGUCCUGCCGCCCGCGCUGCUCCUCUCCGACGACUUCCAGGAGGAGAACAAAGUGCUGGGCGUGCGCUGCCUGCACCACAUCGUCCUCAACGUGCCAGGGGCGGAUCUGUGCCAGUUCAACAGGGCCCAGGUGGUGUUCCACGCCCUCUACAACCACCUCUACUCCCGGGAGGCUCCUCUCAUCCAGGCAGUGCUGCUGUGCCUGCUGGACCUGCUGCCCGUCAUGGAGCGAUGCCAGCGGCACCAGGGCCACGGCAGAGCCACGGGCCCCUGGGACCAGGUGCUGCAGCUGGUGCUGACCCACAUGGAGGCCGAGCAUCGGCUGGCACUGCGCAGGGUGUACGCAGGGACCCUGCCAGCCUUCGUCACCAGGCUCGGCAUCCUCAUCGUGAGGCACCUGAAGAGGCUGGAGCGAGUCAUCCUGGGCUACCUGGAGGUCUCUGAUGGCCCCGAGGAGGAGGCCAGGCUGGGAAUCCUGGAGACUCUGCAGCGCACCAUAGAGCACGCCUGGCCCAGGAUGCCCUGCAGGCUGCCCGUGCUGCUGCAGGCGCUGCUGAGGCUGAUCUGGGACGUGCACACGGAGCGGGGCCCGACCCCCGAGCCCGUCAGAGCCGCGCUGCUGCAGGGAGCCACGCAGAGCCUGAUCCUGCUGGACCGCUGCUGCCACGGGCAGGUAAAGGUGAGCCAGGGCAGGUAAAGGUGAGACAGGGCAGGUAAAGGUGAGCCAGGGCUCCCUGCUGCUGCCACGGCCACGUCAAGGUGAGCCAGGGCAGGUAAAGGUGAGACAGGGAUGGGUGAAGGGGAGCCAGGGCUCCCUGCCAGGGCCAGGUCAAGGUGAGGCAAGACCGGGUGAAGGUGAGAUAGCGAUGGGCGAAGGAGAGCCGAGGCCAGGCAAAGGUGAGCCAGGGCUCCCUGCUGCCUACCAGCACCCUCCUCCCUCUCAGUCCAGCAGGAAUUUGAAUUUCCCCCCUCCCCAGCACCAGCAAUAAGUGACUCCAUAGCUGUGGAGGGGGCUCAGCCCGGGCUCUGCUCUGCAGAGGGCAGGGGACACCAGGGCUGCGUGCAGGGCACUGGGGACGUGC